UGUUUAAAUUUCUUAUUCAUUUAUUCGUUUAUCUAUUUAUUUAGGCCAAGUCCCAACUGCAGUCCCCUGAACCCAUGCACCCUUGUUUUGCCUCACCCAUCUCUCUCUGGAGCCACCUGGUGCCUUUGCCAGCCUCUGUGAUGGAAACCGGUGAGACCUUCUCAGCUGUCCCUGGCUGGGAUGCUAGACAGGCGCUGGCCUGGCCCUUCUGGCUGGCUCUGAGGUUCCUCCCUCCCUCCCUCCCACCUUCCCACCCUCCCUUCCUCCCAAUUUAGCCUUCUGCUGCACACUCAUACCCAGCCUGCUGUUCUGGGACCAGGCCAUCCUCCAACCCUGGCUGCUCUGUUUCACCUCCCCCUCCCUCUCUGGUGUCACCCAGCACUGGCUGGCUGGCUUCAUGGCUGCCUACUCUGCAGACAAGUCCCCAUGCAUCACCUUGGGACAGGAGACAGAAAAUCUCUUUACACCCGCAGGGGUGAAUUAGCUGCCUUUGAAGCUCUGCUUGGCAGGGUGCGUGUAAUCUCUGAAUCAAAGCAUGAGAGAGCGAGCAGGGGACUUCGCUUGUGGCAGAGCGCUCUGGCCCAGUAAACUGCAUGCUCGCUCCCGUCAUGAUGAUGCCACAGUUCGUCUACAGCAGGUGGGGCAGGACAUGGAGGCUGAGUGUCCAACCCCUUGGGGAUAGUAAGUGGUGACGGAGACUCCAAAGAACGCAUGACCAGAAUCAGAUGACGUUCUACCCCUGCUUUGCCAGCCAGGACAUCACCGUGACAACUUCUCACCUCUGUCAUUGCACAGGAAGAGCAGCGAGAGACAAUCUGCCCAUGAAUGUUCAUGGCCCUGUUCCAAUAAAUCUUUAUUUACAGGGACAGAUGGUGGGCCAGAUUGCCCUGGUUGUUUUCUUGUGGUGAAAACUUUUUAUUCAAUGGAAUUUUGCUUGAAACUCAUGGGUUUCUGGAGCAGUUUGAGAAUCAAGAGACUUAGCCAAUUUUCCAAGACAUUCCCACCACCUAAGUCAAUUCAUUCAUUCAUUCAUUCAUUCAUUCAUUUACCUACCUCAUACCUGGUGCCCAACCAGGAACCACAAGGGGAUAACAAUCUACCUAACAGAUUCUAAAAAAUAAUUUCAAAAUACGAUUUGAUUUUCUGUUUUAUUCUUUUUUUUUUUUUUUUUUCGGAGCUGGGGACCGAACCCAGGGGAUUUUCUGUUUUAGAUAGAGUCCUGGCCAGCCUAAAACUGACAGAGGUCUGUCUCCCAAGUGCUAAUAUUAAAUUCGUGUGCCAUAACAGGCUGGGUUUUUUUUUAAAGAUCGCUUUAUUUUAUUCCUAUAUCUAUAUAUGUACACAUAUGUGAUGGUUUGAUUUUAUUUUAUAUGUAUGUGUCUUGCCUGCAUGUGCAGUGCAGCAGAGGCCAGAAGAGAGCAGCAAAUCCCCCAGAUCUGGAGUUACAGACAGUUGUGAGCAGCCAUAUGGUUGCUGGGAACAGAACCUCGGUCCUCUGGAAGAGUAGCCAGUGCUCUCAGCCACUGAGACAUUUCUCCAGCCAGCCUUCUGUAUAUAUAUAAUUUCUUAUGAUCUUUAUUAGUCUAAGAAAUUUGUUCUACAUGACUAUGAUUAUUUGCAAACAGAUCAUUAACACACCUAAGUGUCACACAAUCUCAAUUUUGCUCUAAGCAUCUUCUGUCCAGAAACAGCCACACAGUGUGCAAAACGUAAACAGGCUCCUUUGUUCAAACAGGCCUGAGAAUUCAGAGGCAGAGCACCACA